UAAGUUGGGGAUGGUAGAGCAAAGUAAAGAGACCUCUCUACAAGGAGUCAAACAAGUCAAAGUUAGUUAGAAUAUUAAUAAUGUUGUUAAGUUUAUGUUUAGACAGCUGUAGUUUUGAUAAGAUCUGUUAGAAUCAUGGUCUUUUGCCUUUAUCUGAUGUUGUUCAUGGAUCAUUUUUUUUAUUCUAAUUGUGCCUUGGGAAAGUGUAC
rnacentral:lncRNA from 1 species